rnacentral:snRNA from 1 species
UGCUCAUUCUGCAGCAAUGUACUAACAGCGGAACAAUACAGAGAUUGACAUGGCCCCUGUGCAAGGAUACACAAAAUUCAUGAAGUUUCUAUAUUUUUU